UUUGGAGCUCGUGGUUAUCCUAUACUCAAACUGCACCCACAAAUAAAGUUAUAGCACAGAAUAACACCUUUAGGCAAAAUAAAGACUAAAGAUGAAAGAGCCUUGAAACAGAUGGGAAGAAGGCAUACACACAGCCAGCAGGAGGAUUACAGAAGAUGUUACUCGCCCCAUUCUCCCCCACAUCAGGAGGCCACCACCUUCACGCUCCCCAAUAGCUUCUCUCAACUUUUAUGUUAGUUGCUGAGCUCUGAGAUUCACCAACUCCUUCUCUCCUUUAGCUUUGCUGGUUCAUGGGAGGAAGCCAGCAGCCCACAGUUGCAUGUCAUCGUGUCAGAAGGAGCAUGCACUCCCAGAUCCACGGUUCACAGCAUAAACAUUAUGUCCAAAGCCUUCAUGGCUUAGUUUUUGAAACUCAAAAGUCCAAGUUUUUCCAGUUCAAGAACCUUAAAUUUGGCUUUGUCUACCUGUGUUCCCAGGAAACACCAGAAGAAAAAAAAUUUAUUAAUAUAACAAAAUAUGAAGCAGCCACCAUACACGUAAGUACAGGUACAUGCAUAUCAACAACUAUCAUGUGUAUAGUUUUAAGGGGAAAAAAAACUAUAUACCACUACUGAAGGUUUUCCUUUGUUUUAGUUUGUGCUUUUCUUCCUCAAAAAUCCUUUUUUAGUCUAUCAAGUAUGAAGGACAGGAGUUUCUCUGUGCAUUUUACUGACAGGGAAACAUGAGCAGAAAAGAAAAAAAAUAAUACUAUUACACGGUUUUCCCCAAAUGCCAAACGCCGUGAAUCUAAAGACUGUUCCAACCAGCCUUUUUAUCUUCCCUGCAAAGCACUGUUGAUUACUCACAUUGUUUCCAAUGGGAGAAGUUUUGACUUCUUUCUUAUCUUCAAACAUCCUAGCCUCACAUUUUACAACUGAAUAUAAUUUUAAACACGCCAAAUCUGGAUCUAGUCAGAACUGCAAAUACAUCAAAAUAACUGACAGAGUUAAAGCAGAUGGUGAUAGCAAACGAGGGAGUUUCAUUCAGGUCUUCGGUCCUCUGGUUAUGCAACAAACAUUCACCUGAAGCUUUAUUUACUGAGUGCAAACAUUUAUUGGGUGCUCAGGCCUCUGUUAGCUGCCAGGGAUAUAAAAGGGAAGAAGACAUAAGCAUUGUUCUCAAAGGGUGGAGUCUAGUAGGGUAGAUAGAGAUGUAAACAAAUAAUGGUAGUACACCACCAGCAAGCUACAACAGAGAUAAGAAUUAAGCGCUACUCAGAAUCCCAGAGCCAUUAACACUGUCUGGGGGGAAUACAGACUGGAGCCGGGAGUCUAAAAGCAACACAGCCUUCAGGGUUGUUUCUUACAGCUUAGAAACAGAAAGGCUAAAGCUGAGAGGAAGCAUCGCCACAUGCUCAAAAGCAAAACAGAGUGGCAAAAAUCGAGACACCCUCCAACCAGCUGCAAGAGAAGAUAUGCUUUUGACUAGAAUCAUUAAAUGGCAUUCCCAACAAGUCUUUAAAAACUCCUGAAAACCAACUGGUAGAAGAAAGAAUGUGGAAAUUAUGUUGCCUUUUUUUUUUAAGCUGACUCGUAAUUUACACUCUUUGGCAAGGCUCAGUUUAUAAAGAGGAAGUGGAUUUUUAAUAUAUUUCCUAUAAAGAAAAGUCUUCAAUUGGGUAAGAUGCACCGUAGUCUCUAGAGCCCGUGGUGCUAAUAAAGCAGAACAGCCAUUCCCCAAGGGUUCAUGGGCUCCCUCCUGCCCCUCCUUGUUUCAACUGUUCAGAAUUUGCUCUCCAAGCGCCCUUCUGUGAUGAAAACACCCAGCGCUGGCCUUGACCUAGAGGAAGUGCCUUUGACUGUGGUGGUUCUGAAAUAAAUCAGCUCUUUUUGAGAGGAACUUGAGGGAGUAAAAUCUACAAGUCACAUUAUCAGUCUGGGAUUGAGUCCUUGUGAACAGCAGAGGCAGCAAACUUCAAACUUUAUCAAGAUUGUAGUGCUCAUUAAGGAAGUGAAAUUGAGCCAGAUUUGAAGGAAAGCGCUGUAGUAAUUACAGAGUUAUGAAAAUUUAAAAGCUAUGCGCCUGGGCACGCAGAGAGCAACGUGUUUCCUUUGGGUUCAGAGACACUGCAAUUACAGGGCUUAAGGGGAGCAAAGCACCGAAUUAGAACUCCCCAUUAGUUUGAUUAAUCACUGAUGUAAGUGCAGGCCCUGGAAAUGGCUAUGGCUCAGCCUGAUUUGUGUCUCUUCCUAAUCUCCCCCUCCCCUUUUCUCCCUCUAUUUCCUUUACAAGAUCAGGGGGCCAGGGAAGAGAACAAACCUUGUAUUAACGAUAAGAAAUUGGGUGCAAGAAAGUUAAAACUUCCUGAAGCUUAAUGAUUUCCCUACAUUAGUGUUGGCUUUGCCAAGAAUUGUAUAAUAGCGUGUUCUUUCUUCUUCCCAGGCUGUUAAAUCAUAAUGGUACAACAAAGACAUGUUACUAAAUCUAAUAAGAAAACCAGAGAAUACAGUAUUUUAUGUGGGUGUAGAACAAGUCAACAUCCCCAUAGGAAGCUCACUGAGAUAAUAAUAUACAAUAUUGCAUUAGAUGGGCUUUAACAAACAAAAAAACCCAAUAUGUAGCCAAUUAGCAAUAACAGACAAGAGUCUGGUUCUUUGGAAAGAACUUUGCACCCUUCUGAUCAACUUGACUAACAAAUCUCCUUGCAGAAAUGGUGUCUUGCCCCGGAAAAUGAUGCUGCUGGUAUGAGGUAAGUAUUUUGGGGUCGGGAUAUUUGACUCGGUGCCUCCACGUCAAUACAACCAAAAAGUACAGCCAAUUUUUUAUGAAUGGGGAACACAAAGGGACAAAAAGGUCAAUGCACUAAUUCGACCCCAGCGUGACCACUCAGAGAAAGAACUCUGUAAAUGAAAAUCCAGAACUCUUGGCACAAAGGCACUUUACUGGACGGGCCAGCCUUUAAAUUGUGUGCGAGAUGACCCUUGAUGGGAACGGUGAUUUUGUCAGCGGGAGAUUUUUAAAUAAAAAAUGUCACUGAAAUUUACUUACACGACCCUUUUCAUAUUUGUGCAUGAACUAUAGGGCUCUUGGGAUCAAACGUGAGACAACCGACCAGCCAUGCCUCUUAAAUUAUUUUUCCGGAGGUGUUUUCUUUCUCCACCUCAAUUGUAAAGAUCCAGGAAUAACAGCCCAGUGCACAAAGUAGACAGUUUUAUUUCUCAUCCUGUCUCAAUGGUCUCAUAAUGGGUUCAAUAAGAGUCUGGAAAUAAUGAAAGCUUCUCCGUGGAGAAACACAAGACUCACCAAAAGGCACAAUAGCACCUAGGAGUCUCCUAUAGUAACGGCAACACUAGCAGAAACAUUGCAGGAGUCUGAAUUUCCUACUUAAGAGAAAAAGAAAAAUUUAAAAGGUGACUGCCCUAUACACUCACUAGGGUGCAGAUGGAAUGUCAGGCCACUAAGAUGAAAAUCAGCAGUUGUCCAAGAACUCUGUUGAACAAAAAGUGCAGGAUCUCAGUUUUGUUCCAGGUGGCAAUGGGCGCCAGCCAACGUGCUCACCACCCUAGACUUCCCCGCAUUCAGGGCUGGCCAGAUGAUGCAGUUCUGGACAAAGACGUCUAUGUGGACAUCAGCUAGAGAUUUCUAGGGAUGCUUUUGCUUUCCUGAUACAGAAUUCCUUCACCUGACUGGAGCACUCAUCCCCGCACUACAGUGGAUGUUGGCUGCUCACAGCUGCAACCUGCUCCCGAGGCAUUCCUGUAUCUCACUGGAGCCACCCAGGAGGUUGCAUCCCCUGAGAAGGGCAGCCCAUGCCCAAUGACACAAUGGUGUAGUGUGGAACACACUCUGUGCUGUUAUUCACACUGCAGAGCUCUCUGUGGGCUCAUGCUGAAGCUGCCUUCUCCUGAAUCCACAUCUUGCUUAGCGCCUUCCCCUGCCAACUCUGCUUCCCGCAUACCUCACAGGUUCCUCCCGAGAGCUCUGCCUCACUACACUAUCUGCACCAAUCAUUCCCCACUUCAGGUUCUGCUGAUGGGAACCUGACCUAAGACCAUGUCUGUCUCCAUUUUUCUUUAAUUAAUGAAAAAUAUUUUUUCACUUCCCCUCUUUGUACAAAACAUCUGAAAACUCCCUCAUUUGAAUUAAGGUUCGUAGAAAUUAGAGGGGCUUAGUUAUAACUCACACAGUUUAUCAUCAUUCAACCAACUACCACUAGCCACCAGGUUGUUUGUGACUGGUAUAUCAUCCUAAUUGUUGGGUUUGUUUUUUGGUUUUUGGUUUUUGCUUUUGCUGGGGAACAUUUGCCCUGAGCUAACAUCCAUGCCAA